GCCGUAUGAUUAAUAGGGAUAGUUGGGGGCAUUUGUAUUCCGUCGUCAGAGGUGAAUUUCUGGAUUGCCGGAAGACAAACUACUGCGAAAGCAUUUGCCAAGGAUGUUUCAUUGAUCAAGAACGAAGGAAGGGGGAUCGAAAACGAUUAGAUACCGUUGUAGUCUCUUCUGUAAACUAUGCCAAUUGGGGAUCGGUACAGGAUUUUUAAUGACUGUAUCGGCACCCGAAGAGAAAUCUUUAAAUGAGGUUCGGGGGGGAGUAUGGUCGCAAGGCUGAAACUUAAAGGAAUUGACGGAAGGGCACCACCAGGUGUGGAGCCUGCGGCUUAAUUUGACUCAACACGGGGAAACUCACCAGGUCCAGACACAAUAAGGAUUGACAGAUUGAUAGCUCUUUCUUGAUCUUGUGGUUGGUGGUGCAUGGCCGUUCUUAGUUGGUGGAGUGAUUUGUCUGGUUAAUUCCGAUAACGAACGAGACCUUAACCUGCUAAAUAGACCAGCCGGCUUUGGCUAGCUGCUGUCUUCUUAGAGGGACUAUCAGCGUUUAGCUGAUGGAAGUUUGAGGCAAUAACAGGUCUGUGAUGCCCUUAGAUGUUCUGGGCCGCACGCGCGCUACACUGACAGAGCCAGCGAGUCUACCACCUUUGCCGGAAGGCAUGGGUAAUCUUGUGAAACUCUGUCGUGAUGGGGAUAGAACAUUGCAAUUAUUGUUCUUCAACGAGGAAUACCUAGUAAGCGUGAUUCAUCAGAUCGCGUUGAUUACGUCCCUGCCCUUUGUACACACCGCCCGUCGCUACUACCGAUUGAAUGGCUUAGUGAGGCCUCCGGAUUGGCUAUUGGGAGCUCGCGAGAGCACCCGACUGCCGAGAAGUUGUACAAAGGUGGUCAUUUAGAGGAAGUAAAAGUCGUAACAA
rnacentral:rRNA from 1 species